rnacentral:lncRNA from 1 species
GCUUGAGGGCCCAUCCCCCAGGAGCAGCUGAGCCAUGGCGGAGGGUGAAAUCACCACGUUCACAGCCCUGAUGGAGAAGUUCGACCUACCCCUGGGCAACUACAAAAAGCCUAGGCUGCUCUACUGCAGCAAUGGCGGCUACUUCCUGCGCAUCCAGCCAGACGGUAAAGUGGACGGGACCAGGGAUCGGAGCGAUCAGCACAUUCAACUGCAGCUAAGCGCGGAAAGCGUGGGCGAGGUGUAUAUAAAGAGCACCGAGUCUGGCCACUAUUUGGCUAUGGACACCGAAGGACUUUUAUAUGGCUCACAGGCACCCAGUGAAGACUGCUUGUUCCUGGAGCGGCUGGAGGAGAACCACUAUAACACGUACGUGUCCAAGAAGCACGCUGAGAAGAAUUGGUUUGUCGGUCUCAAGAAGAACGGGAGCUGCAAACGAGGUCCCCGGACUCACUACGGCCAGAAAGCCAUCCUCUUCCUCCCGCUCCCCGUGGCGUCCGACUAGCCGCCUCUCCUCUCGGUACUGGGCCCUUCCAGAACCCCUAGAACCUGAGACACCCGCCUGUUGCCUGCCCUCCUGCUUCUCCCAAACCCACAAACCACCGCAAACCAUCAGGCUUUCAACUCUUCCUCCCUCAUCGGCCACUUUCCCUGUCCCAGGGCUGUUUGGCAGAGGUGGGUGGGUGAUCCUCAAGAUGGGUUCUCAGGCCAGUCUCUCCGGGGCCUACCAAAGGGCGAUCCGGAGGAUUCCCGGGGAAUCUCACAUUCAGAGCCACGUGUGA